AGAGUUUGAUCCUGGCUCAGAUUGAACGCUGGCGGCAUGCCUUACACAUGCAAGUCGAACGGUAACGCGGGGCAACCUGGCGACGAGUGGCGAACGGGUGAGUAAUGCAUCGGAACGUGCCCAGUAGUGGGGGAUAGCCCGGCGAAAGCCGGAUUAAUACCGCAUACGACCUAAGGGUGAAAGCGGGGGAUCGCAAGACCUCGCGCUAUUGGAGCGGCCGAUGUCAGAUUAGGUAGUUGGUGAGGUAAAGGCUCACCAAGCCUUCGAUCUGUAGCUGGUCUGAGAGGACGACCAGCCACACUGGGACUGAGACACGGCCCAGACUCCUACGGGAGGCAGCAGUGGGGAAUUUUGGACAAUGGGCGCAAGCCUGAUCCAGCCAUGCCGCGUGCGGGAAGAAGGCCUUCGGGUUGUAAACCGCUUUUGUCAGGGAAGAAACGCUCUGGGCUAAUACCCCGGGGUAAUGACGGUACCUGAAGAAUAAGCACCGGCUAACUACGUGCCAGCAGCCGCGGUAAUACGUAGGGUGCAAGCGUUAAUCGGAAUUACUGGGCGUAAAGCGUGCGCAGGCGGUUAUGCAAGACAGAUGUGAAAUCCCCGGGCUCAACCUGGGAACUGCAUCCGAAACUGCCUUGCUAGAGUAUGGGAGAGGGAAGCGGAAUUUCCGGUGUAGCGGUGAAAUGCGUAGAUAUCGGAAGGA
rnacentral:rRNA from 1 species